rnacentral:rRNA from 1 species
ACAUACACCGGUAACGCCCAGAGAUGGGUGCCCCUUUGUGGUCGGUGUACAGGUGGUGCAUGGUUGUCGUCAGCUCGUGUCGUGAGAUGUUGGGUUAAGUCCCGCAACGAGCGCAACCCUCGUCCUAUGUUGCCAGCGGGUCAUGCCGGGGACUCAUGGGAGACUGACCGGGGUCAAACUCGGAGGAAGUGGGAUGACGUCAAAUCAUCAUGCCCCUUAUGUCUUGGGCUUCACGCAUGCUACAAUGGCUGGUACAAAGGGCUGCGAUACCGCGAGGUGGAGCGAAUCCCAGAAAGCCGGUCUCAGUUCGGAUUGGGGUCUGCAACUCGACCCCAUGAAGUCGGAGUCGCUAGUAAUCGCAGAUCAGCAACGCUGCGGUGAAUACGUUCCCGGGCCUU